UACGGAGGGUGCGAGCGUUGUCCGGAAUCAUUGGGCGUAAAGGGCGCGUAGGCGGCGGGACAAGCGUGCGGUGAAAGCCUGGGGCUCAACCCCGGGUCGGCCGUGCGAACUGUUUUGCUUGAGCACUGUAGAGGCAGGCGGAAUUCCGGGUGUAGCGGUGGAAUGCGUAGAGAUUCGGAAGAACACCGGUGGCGAAGGCGGCCUGCUGGGCAGUAGCUGACACUGAGGCGCGACAGCGUGGGGAGCAAACAGG
rnacentral:rRNA from 1 species